rnacentral:tRNA from 1 species
UCCUCGGUAGCUCAGUUGGUUAGAGCACUUGACUGUUAAUCAGGGGGUCGUUGGUUCGAGCCCAACCCGGGGAG